rnacentral:rRNA from 1 species
CAGCGCCACAAGUGGCGGUCACGAUUAUUGGGCCUAAAGCGUCCGUAGCUGGACAAGCACAUCCUUUGUGAAAUCCAUGAGCUUAACUCAUGGGCAUGCGAGGGACACGACUUGUCUUGGGAAUGGGAGGAGUCAGAGGUAUUCGAGGGGGACUGGUAAAAUGGUAUAAUCCCUCGAGGACCACCGAUGGCGAAGGCAUCUGACCAGAACAUAUCCGACAGUGAGGGACGAAAGCCAGGGGAGCGAACCGGAUUAGAUACCCGAGUAGUCC